UACGGGGGGAGCAAGCGUUGUUCGGAUUUACUGGGCGUAAAGGGCGCGUAGGCGGCGCAGCAAGUCACUUGUGAAAUCUCCGGGCUUAACUCGGAGCGGCCAAGUGAUACUGUCGUGCUAGAGUGCGGAAGGGGCAACUGGAAUUCUCGGUGUAGCGGUGAAAUGCGUAGAUAUCGAGAGGAACACCUGCGGCGAAGGCGGGUUGCUGGGCCGACACUGACGCUGAGAAGCGAAAGCAUGGGGAGCGAACAGG
rnacentral:rRNA from 1 species